rnacentral:rRNA from 1 species
CCUACGGGUGGCAGCAGUGGGGAAUAUUGGACAAUGGGGGGAACCCUGAUCCAGCGACGCCGCGUGAGUGAAGAAGUAUUUCGGUAUGUAAAGCUCUAUCAGCAGGGAAGAAAAUGACGGUACCUGACUACGAAGCCCCGGCUACCUACGUGCCAGCAGCCGCGGUAAUACGUAGGGGGCAAGCGUUAUCCGGAUUUACUGGGUGUAAAGGGGGCGUAGACGGUGCAGCAAGUCUGAUGUGAAAGGUCGGGGCCCAACCCCGGGACUGCAUUGGAAACUGUUGACCUGGAGUACAGGAGAGGUAAGCGGAAUUCCUAGUGUAGCGGUGAAAUGCGUAGAUAUUAGGAGGAACACCAGUGGCGAAGGCGGCUUACUGGACUGUAACUGACGUUGAGGCUCGAAAGCGUGGGGAGCAAACAGGAUUAGAUACCCUUGUAGUC